GCAUAUCAAUAAGCGGAGGAAAAGAAACUAACAAGGAUUCCCCUAGUAGCGGCGAGCGAAGCGGGAAGAGCUCAAAUUUAUAAUCUGGCACCUUCGGUGUCCGAGUUGUAAUCUCUAGAAGUGUUUUCCGCGUUGGACCGCACACAAGUCUGUUGGAAUACAGCGGCAUAGUGGUGAAACCCCCGUAUAUGGUGCGGACGCCCAGCGCUUUGUGAUACACUUUCAAUGAGUCGAGUUGUUUGGGAAUGCAGCUCAAAUUGGGUGGUAAAUUCCAUCUAAAGCUAAAUAUUGGCGAGAGACCGAUAGCGAACAAGUACCGUGAGGGAAAGAUGAAAAGCACUUUGGAAAGAGAGUUAACAGUACGUGAAAUUGUUGGAAGGGAAACGCUUGAAGUCAGACUUGCUUGCCGGAGCUUGCUUCGGUUUGCAGGCCAGCAUCAGUUUUCCGGGGUGGAUAAUGACGGUUUGAAGGUAGCAGUCUCGGCUGUGUUAUAGCUUUCCGUUGGAUACAUCCUGGGGGACUGAGGAACGCAGCGUGCUUUUUGCGAAAGACUCGUCUUUUUCACGCUUAGGAUGCUGGUGGAAUGGCUUUAAACGACCCGUCUUGAAACACGGACCAAGGAGUCUAACAUGCUCGCGAGUAUUUGGGUGUCAAACCCGGAUGCGCAAUGAAAGUGAAUGUAGGUGGGAACCGCAAGGUGCACCAUCGACCGAUCUGGAUUUUUUAAGAUGGAUUUGAGUAAGAGCGCGUAUGUUGGGACCCGAAAGAUGGUGAACUAUGCCUGAAUAGGGCGAAGCCAGAGGAAACUCUGGUGGAGGCUCGUAGCGGUUCUGACGUGCAAAUCGAUCGUCAAAUUUGGGUAUAGGGGCGAAAGACUAAUCGAACCAUCUAGUAGCUGGUUCCUGC
rnacentral:rRNA from 1 species